UCGAACGAGAUCUUCGGAUCUAGUGGCGCACGGGUGCGUAACGCGUGGGAAUCUACCCUUAGGUUCGGAAUAACUCCUCGAAAGGGGUGCUAAUACCGGAUGAUGACGUAAGUCCAAAGAUUUAUCGCCUAAGGAUGAGCCCGCGUAGGAUUUUCCCGUAGGUGGGGUAAAGGCCUACCAAGGCUACCAUCCUAAUCUGGUCUGAGAGGAUGAUCAGCCACACUGGGACUGAGCCAGGAUCAAACCCUCAACGGGAGGCAGCAGUAGGGAAUAUUGGACAAUGGGCGAAAGCCUGAUCCAGCAAUGCCGCGUGAGCGAUGAAGGCCUUAGGGUUGUAAAGCUCUUUUACCCGGGAUGAUAAUGACAGUACCGGGAGAAUAAGCCCCGGCUAACUCCGUGCCAGCAGCCGCGGUAAUACGGAGGGGGCUAGCGUUGUUCGGAAUUACUGGGCGUAAAGCGCACGUAGGCGGCGAUCUAAGUCAGAGGUGAAAGCCUGGAGCUCAACUCCAGAACUGCCUUUGAGACUGGAUUGCUAGAAUCUGGGAGAGGUGAGUGGAAUUCCGAGUGUAGAGGUGAAAUUCGUAGAUAUUCGGAAGAACACCAGUGGCGAAGGCGGCUCACUGGACCAGUAUUGACGCUGAGGUGCGAAA
rnacentral:rRNA from 1 species